rnacentral:rRNA from 1 species
AAUAUUGGACAAUGGGGGCAACCCUGAUCCAGCCAUGCCGCGUGGGUGAAGAAGGUCUUCGGAUUGUAAAGCACUUUAAGUUGGGAGGAAGGGCUUUAGGUUAAUACCCUGAAGUUUUGACGUUACCCACAGAAUAAGCAACGGCUAACUCUGUGCCAGCAGGCUCUGUAAUACAGAGGGUGCAAGCGUUAAUCGGAAUUAAUGGGCGUAAAGCGCGCGUAGGUGGUUCAGUAAGAUGGGUGUGAAGUCCCCGGGCUUAACCUGGGAACUGCUUUCAUAACUGCUGAGCUAGAGUACGGUAGAGGGUAGUGGAAUUUCCUGUGUAGCGGUGAAAUGCGUAGAUAUAGGAAGGAACACCAGUGGCGAAGGCGACUACCUGGACUGAUACUGACACUGAGGUGCGAAAGCGUGGGGAGCAAAC